AUGGUGGGAUACAGGACAUCAGGCCACGGGCAUGUGCCCAUGGACCACCCUGUUCUCCUGGCAGGCGCCCCAUCCCCAUGGCAGGCCCCUCUGCCCCCAUGGUUGGCCACGCUGUCACUGUGGUGGGUCACCAUGUCCCUAGGGUGGGCCAGCAGCCCUGCUGCUGCCUGGUCCCUGCUGCUGCCACCAGCACAGCCCCUGUCACAGAGGCCUCGCAGACACCAAAAACGGUGCUGGUAUUACCCACCCAAAGAUACGGCUGAAGCCCCGAGGGCUGCGGGGAUGAGGACACCCCUAUCCAAGGCCCCAGUGCUCCUUCGCUCCCAGUGGCGCAAGGAUGAUGGUGCCCAGAAGUGCCCAGCAUCCUGCCAGCCCCUCACUGGCAGCCCUCCCAGGGCACGGCACAGCCCUGGAGCAGCGCGAUCACACGCAGGUGCUGCCGUUGGGAUGAUCCCCGUGCGCCGCACCCUCGGAGCUGCGGCUGCUUCCUCUUACCUGCCGCUGUGGGGCUGCCCCCGAGGCCGAGCGGUGCCGUGCUGUGCCAGGCUCCCCCGGGCCCACACCGCACACGUGAUGCCGGAGGAAAUCGGCUCGGCGCUGGGAAGGAAGUUGAAGCAGAGAGCACCUCGGUGCUGGUCCACCCCACAUCCCUGUGCCUCACCGGGGACUCCGGCUCCCCGGCCCAGCCGCCUCCCCGAACCCACCUCGCGCCCGUCCGCGGGACUGCCCGGCCAUCCUGGCGGGACACCGAGGCUCCCGGCCCCGGAUGGACACCAGGGCUGGACUCACUGGACUCUGUGUGCUGGGAUAGCAUUGCCGGCUUCAGCUGCGGGAGAGGGUUUGGGUGAGGGUGGGACUGGAGGGCACCGAGCACUGGGACCGCAGGCACAGCAGAGCCCCACAGAGCCCUGUGUCUCCCCUGGACACCCCCAACCUGGUGCCCCCACCCACCUUCUCCGGCCCUGGGCAGGGCUGGGCCAUCUGUGCCACCCGCGGCGUCUCGGUGCUGGCCCUGCACGCCAGGGCUGCGGGAGGAGCCGGGGCCAGCGCAGUGCGGAGCGAGGCGCCAGGGCAGGACCGCAGCCGGCUCGGGGUGACAGCUCACACUCACCCGGCUCUCACAGAGGUUCUGUCACGGAGGGGAAGUGA
ensembl:lncRNA